GAUGAACGCUGACAGAAUGCUUAACACAUGCAAGUCAACUUGAACUUCGGUUUGGGUGGCGGACGGGUGAGUAACGCGUAAAGAACUUGCCUCACAGAUAGGGACAACAUUUGGAAACGAAUGCUAAUACCUGAUAUUAUGAUUAUAUGGCAUCGUAUAAUUAUGAAAGCUAUAUGCGCUGUGAGAGAGCUUUGCGUCCCAUUAGCUAGUUGGAGGGGUAACGGCUCACCAAGGCGAUGAUGGGUAGCCGGCCUGAGAGGGUGAUCGGCCACAAGGGGACGGAGACACGGCCCUUACGCCUACGGGAGGCAGCAGUGGGGAAUAUUGGACAAUGGACCAAGAGUCUGAUCCAGCAAUUCUGUGUGCACGAUGAAGUUUUUCGGAAUGUAAAGUGCUUUCAGUUGGGAAGAAAAAAAUGACGGUACCAACAGAAGAAGUGACGGCUAAAUACGUG
rnacentral:rRNA from 1 species